AAGUCUCCAGGUCUCUCGGAAA
rnacentral:misc_RNA from 1 species